GACCAUCACGUCCGUCAGUCCAUGCCCGUGCAGCCGUGCUCCCAUGCCCCUGCUCCAGCCAAUUAGAGCUUCGGGACAAUCUCCUUUGGGCAUGUGCGUCAGCAAUGGCGGGUUAACAGUGAAAGUACCAGCAGAACACCAGGUUCUCGGUCUCUCCGAGAAAACAAUGGCACGAAGCUCGAGGCACUACGGUUUUCUCUCUCUCUUCGCCCUUGCGUGAAGAAGACCACAUGGAGAUGGAGGAG
rnacentral:lncRNA from 7 species